AGCAGUCGCCACGGUAAUACGGAGGAUCCGAGCGUUAUCCGGAUUUAUUGGGUUUAAAGGGUGCGUAGGCGGCUUUUUAAGUCAGGGGUGAAAGACGGUAGCUUAACUAUCGCAGUGCCCUUGAUACUGAAGAGCUUGAAUGUACUAGAGGUAGGCGGAAUGUGACAAGUAGCGGUGAAAUGCAUAGAUAUGUCACAGAACACCAAUUGCGAAGGCAGCUUACUAUGGUAUGAUUGACGCUGAGGCACGAAAGCGUGGGGAUCAAACAGGAUUAGAUACCCCUGUAGUCCCUGUCUCUUAUAC
rnacentral:rRNA from 1 species